rnacentral:rRNA from 1 species
CGUCGUAGCUGAUCAGCCAUGCCGCGUGUGUGAAGAAGGUCUUCGGAUUGUAAAGCACUUUAAGUUGGGAGGAAGGGCAGUAAAUUAAUACUUUGCUGUUUUGACGUUACCGACAGAAUAAGCACCGGCUAACUCUGUGCCAGCAGCCGCGGUAAUACAGAGGGUGCAAGCGUUAAUCGGAAUUACUGGGCGUAAAGCGCGCGUAGGUGGUUUGUUAAGUUGAAUGUGAAAUCCCCGGGCUCAACCUGGGAACUGCAUCCAAAACUGGCAAGCUAGAGUAUGGUAGAGGGUAGUGGAAUUUCCUGUGUAGCGGUGAAAUGCGUAGAUAUAGGAAGGAACACCAGUGGCGAAGGCGACUACCUGGACUGAUACUGACACUGAGGUGCGAAAGCGUGGGGAGCAAACAGGAUUAGAUACCCCGGGUAGUCCAAAGGGG